AGAGUUUGAUCCUGGCUCAGGAUGAACGCUAGCUACAGGCUUAACACAUGCAAGUCGAGGGGCAGCAUGGUCUUAGCUUGCUAAGGCCGAUGGCGACCGGCGCACGGGUGAGUAACGCGUAUCCAACCUGCCUUACACUCUUGGACAGCCUUCUGAAAGGGAGAUUAAUACAAGAUGUUAUCAUGAGUAAGCAUUUUCGCAUGAUUAAAGGUUUACCGGUGUAAGAUGGGGAUGCGUUCCAUUAGAUAGUAGGCGGGGUAACGGCCACCUAGUCUUCGAUGGAUAGGGGUUCUGAGAGGAAGGUCCCCCANAUUGGAACUGAGACACGGUCCAAAAUCCUACGGAGGCA
rnacentral:rRNA from 1 species